GGAUGCUAAGGGAGGAGAAGGGCAGAAGAGGAAGGAGAAGGCUGUGAAUUUUUUCGAAGCUGGUCACGCAGCAUCAGCUGCAACCUGCUGGACAGAUCAUUCUGGCUAGACUAAAUCACAGCCAGCCAAAGAAUUUCGAGAUUGCUCGUGAGGAGCCAAAUAGAUCAUGGUUUGCGCAAGUUUAAAAAUACACCUCGAGCACCCUAAGAAUAGAAACGCGGGGUAUAAACCGAAUAAAGAAGGAAGGAAGCCACAGCUGAGGUGGAUGAAGAAAUGAUAUGUGGAUUGAUGAGGGCAGCCCGGCGACUUUUGUCAAGGGGACUUCCUGCAAAUCCGUGCCGACACUCCGUGAAAGUUCUGCAGGUCAUUGUUUCAUUCUGGCAAGAUUCCGUCUGUAGGCGAACGACCAUAAAGACACUCGUCAGAAGUAACUCCACACAUUAUGGGGGAAAUGGACAUAAGAAUUAAAAGUUAGCUUUCUUUACAUGCUUGGAAAAAAAGUCAGAAGUCAUUCUUUGCAUCUAUUUGUGUUUUCAAUAGAGGAGAAUUUUUGUAGCCUAAGGAUGAAAUGAGGGCUCCUUGGUGCUCUCUGAGCUUGGCUGUUUUUUUGCAGAGACGUUUCAUCACCCAACUAGGUAACAUCAUCAGUGACAAAAGGGAAUGGGCUUUGCCCUCUCCCUUCUAGCGCUAUUGAUGUUACUGUCAGCGUUCCAAAUUAGGCUCUCUUCCAGCGCUGACAUGAACGAAAUGAAGCAGAGAGCAGAAGCGUUGAUUUAUUGCUGAGAUGAACUUUUACCUAGUUUUCUGCAUGCAACAGAUAGUGUUACCUGGGUGAUGGAGGGUGGGGGCCACAUUCCUGUGAAAAGAGCGUGCUGGGACGUAGAGAUGGCUCUGCAUGAUGGACAAUGGGACAUUGGGGUUGGAGAGCGGAAGAGGAGGGGGUUGGAAGGAGGGGCCAGUUUGGCUGCAACUUGAAUCAGGAAUGUCGGAUUUUUUUCUAUUCUUAAAUAAAAGUGAUUCAUUAGAGACUUUGCGUUUGAGAAUGAAGUUUAUUUAAGAUAGCACCGAAGCCUGACAGUUACCUAGUUUGGGGAAUGAGACGUCAGAAAAAGAGAGCAGCCAAACAGAGAGCAUCAAGGACUUCUCUUUUCUCUUUUCCUUUCUUUACAUUUUUUUUUUUCACACUUCUAUUCUCUUCUUCUCCCUAUUCUCUUUUUUUCCUAUUCAUUGCUUCUUUGGAUUGUGAGUUUAUGCCGGUUUCUUUGACGUGCCGUGCUUUGCAAAAUGUAAUAAAUAUUAUUGGAAAGAA